CUUGGUGCUUGGUGAAAUCAUCGUUGGAUCAUCUGACUAAAAUAAUGCGAUUUGAUUCGUUACCAUUAUAGCCAAAGAUGGAUGAGCUUUUGGGGGCUAAAAAAAAAGACAAAAUUUUUGAAACUGCAACAGACUGGGAAAACUGAAGUUCCGUGCUGCCUACAAUGGCAUCAGCAAGAUUCAAAGCAUGUAGCAAUAUGCCACAGGAGUUUGAUGGCAUCCCAGGGAAAAAAGUGUGUACCCACCCAGUUGCAGCUGGAGUGAAGUCCGCCCCUCCCCCCCUGCAUACUGAUUGAAUGGAGUUCCUGUGUGGAUGCUCAGUUUGGAGUAAGUUGUUCGCCAAUUGGAAUAUAUUCGACUGUUGUCUUUAUCCUGGGUCCUGUGACCUUGUAAUGGAUUUGUGGCAUGUAAAUUAGUGGAAAUGGAAAAAAAAAAAAUGAAAAAUCCAGGAUUUGCAUUUUCAUUGGAUAAUGGACUUCAUGAAUUGGUUUUUCUUGCAUGAGCUGUAUAGUGCAAACACAAGUAGAUGGACUGUAAUUGAGAAGUAAGUAAUGUUUACACAUUUGUUGAUGUUAUCUUUCUGAAAUGGGAUGACACCACUGAAGAAGUUGUAUUCUGUAUGGUGGAGAACAUAAGUCAGUGUGAACCAAGCAUGGAGAAUCCAGGAAUUCUUUGCCUGCUGUUGGCAUGUCAUCUGCAAGGAGUAUGGCUUCUUACCAAGGAAGAAGCAUCUGAGAUCUCUUCCCCUUCGCACACUUACUGUGACCCAAACACGAGGCACAAUAUGACAGAGGAGUUUGAUGGCAUCAGUGAAGAAAUUUCUGUUCUGGCUAUGGAGGAAUGUCGGGUUUGGACUGAACAAGGAUGCCAGAAGUCGCCCUUCACCCUCUACAUGUACCAUGUACAAGAUAGCCACUGACAUGAAGCAGAGGAAGGACAAUCAGAAGAAGCUCCACUCUGUGUGUGACUGUGCACCAGACUGCGAGGAGUUCCUGCAGAGAAGGUGUGUGUCACCUAAAUCUAAUUGUGGGCCCUGUUGUCUGGAAAUUGACAGUCGAGGAAGGCACCUUUGUUCCCCUUAUUGGAGUGGAUCCACUACUUAGUGUUCAGGGUUUGAGGUGUCCCACAUUUGAAAUUCAGCUUCAAUGAUCACAAACUUGUAAUCUCAUUGUUAAGUUGCUUUUGUGUAGGAUUUUCCUCAGUCUUGUGUCCAAAUUCAGACCCCUAAAUGGGUGGGAUCACUGUUAUUGGACAGACAUUUAUUUGAAGUGAAUCAUUUUAAUGGUUUGCCAUGGCCACAGCACGAAUGCUGUUUAUGAAAAGCAGUUUGCAAUACUGGAAGACCUAACCAGUUGAGUAUAUAUAUUCCAAGUUAUUACCUCUCUCGCAGUGGGACACUGAAAUUUGUUACUGCUGCGUUUAAUUUUAUACGUGUUACUCCAAUUUUAGAAUUCAAUAUCACAACCAUGCAUCGUCAUAAAAUUAUGAGACAAAAAGGUUCUGACGGAUCAGUUAUCAAAGUUCAUAUAUGUUUACCAUAUUUUCAUUUAUAUAGCCAUUACAGUACACUUUAUAUAUAUAUAAACAAUAUAUAUUGUUUAGUAAAACUCUGUAUUUUUGGCUUUAUCCUCAAAAGGUACGCCACUGACAUGCAUUUCAGUUCCCAAUACAUGAUCACAAAAGUAUGUCUGACUCAUGCACAUUGACUGUAUGCAGUGGGGCUGGUGUCUAGAAAUGAAACACCAUUCAUAGAAUCCGAGUGACAAAACUACCUCCAGCCUACACACACACUUACACGUUUGUUUACUGUGGCACUUCACUGUGACCUACUGUAGCUCUGACUGCCUAAGUGACAACAGACGUUUCUGAUUGCUGUGUGAUCUGAAUUUGCACUUCCUUCUCAAGUUCAGUCUACUGUGGGUGAAUGAACCAUGCAACAAAAUGUAUUUGUUCUUCCAAACAUCAACUGGAGAAACAUUAUCUUGUACAGACUAAAACCAUCAUACCUUGGGACACUUUUUUGCAAAUCCAGUGGCACAUAACUUUGAAGGUGUUUGUAAUUAUGGCUUAGUUUUCAGUACCAGCCCAUAGUAAACUCUCUGAUUACUAAAAUCUUACCUUCAGACACUUCUUAGCCAUGUGUUGAACCUUGAUGGAAAUGGUGCAACACACAGGGUCCCCUUAGAGUCUUCGCAGUUGUAUCAUGUUUCACUCCAUUGGCCGUUUUUGUAGCAUACAGCACAGUGCCAGCACGGAUUUUGCUUUGCACUGUGGCAGCAGUGUAGGAGGGAUAAUGAGGAACGUUAAUCUUUUUGGUGGUCUGCCUAUUGGUCUGUUUUCUGUUAUAUGAUAUUUUGAAAUUAAAGUUUUUAUAAGUUUCACUUGAAAUUACCUCCUGGAAAUGCUGGUGUCUUUUUUCUUGUGUAAAGUGAAUAUGAAUUCAAAGAGCAGAUAUCAAUCAAAUGGCAGAAGUGCUUUUGAUAGUAUUUUCUUAGUGUUUUCCUUGUGCGGUGAUAGCUUGUCAAGUAAGCAUCACUGCGGUCCACACCUUCCAUCCUGGAAUCAUAAUCAGUGAAUAGUUUGGGCUCCUCCAUGUCUUACCCUUGAACCCCACUUGGAACCAUUUUGUCAUCAUGAAUGGUACUAAUAAGAGAAAUACCGUUUUUGUGUUUCCGCUUCAUUAUCAUUAGCCUGUCUGUGUAGACUGACACAUUCUCCCUUUUCCAGUUUUGUGCUCUUUAUUUCAGCAGGGACACUUCCUGUUUUGAUGCAAGGUUCCCCUAGCAUCACUCUGUCUGCUGCACAGCUUAUAGAACACAUCUGGGCCUCAAAACUAGCUGUCCAUGAUUACGGGUGUCCCUGAUUCAGUAGAGGAGCCAUUAGUUGUAGAACUCCUUCUGAGUUGAACCGUUAUUUACCCGGACUGUAACCAGUCCGAAAUUUCAGGAGAGGGAAAGGGGGAGGAGUUCAUUCACUUGUUGUUGUUGGAAAUACACGCACAAUUCGAGAGCAAUGCUGACUGAGUUUAACAAUACAAUAAUAUAGUAACGAAAUAAAUAUACAUUAACAAUAAUAAAGGAAAUAAAACAUA